rnacentral:snRNA from 1 species
GGAUGCCGGGGUUGAUCUGACUCAUCUGGCUGGCUAGGUGGGGUUCCUUUCCUCCAUCUCUGUGUGCUCUGAAGCUGUGUGCUGGGCUGAAGAGGUCAGCCUUCCCUGAGCAGAGAUGAUCCAGUCUUUGGCCGAGGGUAAAGGAAUAGCUCAGCUCCCCGGCUAGAACCUCCAAACAAGCUCUCAAAGUGACCUUCAUGCCCUGUCACUCUGUUUUCAUGUUUUCCAUCUUCCAAUGAAGUGAAUCUUU